CAAUUCAUACUACUACUGCAUAUAUAUACACACACGAAAAAUAGAGGGACGGGGGUGAGAGCAAAUUGGGGAUAACAGAUCUGGUAAAAUGAAAAGGGAAAUGGGAGAAGGGGAAAAAGAGAUUUGAAAGAGAGAACUAUUGGAGAGCUCAAAAACCAAGCAAUGCCUUCUUCUUCUUCUCCGGGCGAGCAACAACAGUAGAUCUCUCUUCCUUCUUCCUUGCUUGGUUUCACCUUCACUGUGAGAUCGACAUGAAAAGCACAUCCAUAGAACUCCAUUAAAGCCAGCUCUUCUCCUCCAAAAAAACCAACAUAUAUCACCCCAAACUUCAGCUCUAAAACCCGGCAAAACCUGCCAUGAAACAGCUCGAGUUUAGCUCCUAAAACAGUUCAAAGAAGCAGUGAAAAUACCGCUGCUUCAUGCGACGAAAAAUACAGCAGCUGCCGCUCAUCUUCUCCUUCAAAAAACCGACCUCAAACCACCUGUAAACCAACCAAAAAUACAAACUCAACAGUUGGCUUCCACCACUGUUAAAACGCAGUCGAAGUUUGAGCUCUGAAAGUCCGUUCUAGUUAGAAGUUUUCCGGUUGAGGUCCUGUUUGUGUUUCCGGUUCUGAUGCUGUUGUUCGGUUUCUGUUUUCUUAGCUCAAUGGUUAUUUCUAUUGUACAAAGCUUGGCUUGGAUUUCUCUUUAUUAAUACAUUAAACAUGAUUUUCCACCGGUGAAGGUCCGUUCCCUUUUAUCUUGUCAUUCUAUUAAGUUGUCAUCAAUAUGCUGCAAUAGAAGAACAUGAAUCCGUAGUCCUUACUGCUUUAUUUUCAUUAUUUAGUUUUGUCUUAUUAUCUAUCUUUCUUAGUUAUGUUAUUUACUUUGCAUAUAAUCUAUUUGUUUAAAGUGCUCAAUGGUGAAUCUUUUUUUUAUUUAUUAUUUUCUUUCUUUUUUUUUUUUGGUUUAGUCCUGAUUUGUGAAAUAUUAGUUUAAUUUGUAUCAUGUCAUUCUUGUGUUGUAGAUUAGAGGUAUGCUUAGAAAUUUAGAAUAAUAUGACAUGGGUUUGAUGAAAUGAGCCACAGGUAAAUGGGUUUAACGUUGGGCCGUCGGGUGGUUUUGAAACAUAGUAUUUGGACUUUGAUUUAAAACUAGGAAGAUUUGGACCCUAUAACAAGGUGUUGGGCUUCAGUUGUUGGGCCGUGGAAUAGUUAUAAUUUGUCACUUGCUAAUAAUAGUUAAAUCAUACAUUUCUUCCACAAUGCCCAUUCCAUAAAUUUGGCCUCACAAUCAAUCUCAAGUUAGUUUAGGAACAAUUAUGAACACUCGUUAGAUAUGUUUUAGGCGUGAUUAAUAAUAAAUCAUCGUGACUAUGGGUACGGUUUCCGUGGCAUAGUCAUGAUACGCAACCCCAAUUCGAGUAUGCGUUUCACGUGACUCGACCACAACUUCAAAUAAUAAUAAAAAUAAGCAUGUUGUAAAUCGCGGGUGCAUUUCAUGUGGCGCGGUUUGCGGUAUGUGUCAAAACGACAAGUGUACGACAUCGUGACUUGUUCUAGAAAUAAUUUCAUAAAUAAUUAAAAGCGGUUAAAAAGUAAAAAUGCACAAUAGGCUUUAAAUAUGUAAUAAAUCAGACAAUUAGGCCAAGUAUUGAUUGUUAAGCGACCGUGCUAAAACCACGGAACUCGGGAGUGCUUCACACCUUCUCCCGGGUUAACAGAAUUCCUUACCCGGUCUUCUGUGUUCGCGGACCAUAAAAUAGAGUCAAUUUCCUCGAUUUGGGAUUUAAAAUAUAUCGGUGACUUGGGACACCAUAAAUUAUUCCAAGUGGCGACUCUGAAAUAAAUAAAUAAUCCUAUUUCGAUUAAUGUCACUUAAAUUGGAAAAACUCCCUUAUCCCUUAUCGCUCCAUCGGGAAAAAGGAAGUGUGACACCUAAAAUAUUAGCCGCCUAUUAUGCCUUCAAUAAUUAAAUUAUAUCUUAAGUGUUAAUGCCUAAAAACGUAAAAGCAAUUCAAAUAUUAUAGAGUCCAAGUCAACAUGACAUUCUUAGAGUCAUAUUAGUAAAGGAAACGUAUUCGUUCAUUCAUUAUAUGAAUGGAAAGCAAUUCAAAUAUUAUUGAAUGUGUGUCUUUGUCGGUGAAGAUUAGAUUUUGGAGACUUGGAGUUUAUUUGUGGAAUUUCUGAGUUUUAAAUAUAUUAGAUGUUUUACUAUUUUUAUAGUUAAAUGCCAGUUUUUGAUUUUCCUAUUUCGUGUUGAAAGAUUAGAUGAAAGUGUUAAGUUUAGAUCACCCAGAGAAGAGUAGCAGUUAUGGUAACUUUAACAGUAGCAGAUGCAAUUAGCAGAUUCUGAAAAGGUUUUAAUUCAUUAUGAUGCAUUACAGAUUUUGAUUUAUACAAAUUGCCUCGUGAGAUUGAAAUAAAGUGCAUUGCAUGGAAUUACAAUAUUUAUAUGGUUCAGAAUCUAUAAAUUUCAAUAUAAGAUUUGUAAUAAACAAUAUAGAUGUUAUUUAUCAUAUCUUAAUCUAAACAAAUAUGAAUCCCAUAUACCUGUAUCAUUAAAUAUUAAGUAAUUACAUGGUGUGACCAUAAAUUUUGAAUAUACCUAUUCCAUAAGUGUUUGUUGCAUUCUUGAAGUGAUUUUAAAUCUUUUAACAUACUCUCGAAAUGUUCAGUUCCAAUUUGUCUUUAAAUUAUGUCAAAACUUUAUUAAUAAGUUGGUUUCGAUUAUAUAAUAUUCUUUUUUAAGGAAUUGAUUAUUGAACUGUAAAAUACAUAUUCAGUUAACAAGUGCUUUAAAAUACUUAUCGCGAUAGAAAGUUUAUUAUUUUGGUACGCGUUUUGUAAUAUUUGACACGUGAUAUUUAAUAGCUAUAACUUUUGUAUAAUAUGAUUUCUUUUUGUAUAACAAAACAAAUGUGUUUUGAAUGUGUGGCUAAGAAAUCUCAAACUUUUUGACAUAAAAAUAUGUAGUAAUUGAAACGGAAUAAUGUCCAAUGCAAAAAGAAAAGAAAAAAUUAUUAUGGAAGGCAUUGUCACGCCUCGAAACUGGGAUGGGACGUGAUGACUCUCAACCUACCUCACCUGUUGAGAGAACCCUAUUCUAGUUGGCUAAUAAUUACUUAUGCACUAAGCAUGUCACAAGUUAUUGAUAAAGUCUAUAAACACAAUUGUUGGAAGGAAAUUGAAUCACGAAUCAAAUGAUAAAUAUCUACGUAACUAAAUCCACUAUCAAGUCAUGAACCUCUAUUGAAAGCUAAAUACAUAAAACUUUGGGACAUUCCCCUCGAAAAAUAUACAUAUCUAAAAUAAAUAAAAUCCUGAGAAAAGAUUUGCGACCGCUGGAGUGAAUCUACAUUGCACUACGAGUCUUGAAAGCUUGCCCUCUAGUCAUGGACUUUAUUACAUGUGCACUCAACGCCUGUCACAUGAUAUGGAAGGUCCAAACGGGCUAAUUAGUACCUCCAAGGAUACCUAGAAAGUCUCAUUGAUAACCCCCUAAGCGGAGGACAAGACUAGCAUGGGCUAUAUACAUAUAUAAUAAAGUGCUGCAAGUAGAACAGACGUUUCACACAACAUAACUGAAUAAUCUAAAAGCUGAAAUUAAUUCUGCAAAUUGAAUAUAAACUGAUAACUUAAAGUCGGAGCUAAAACUGAGUCUUUAUCUGAUAAUUAAAACUAAAACUGAAAUCUAAGUCAAAAACUGAUAUUUAAAACUGAAGUUAAAAACUGAGUUAAUUUUCAAGAAAUAACUUUUUAAAAAGCAUUGCACAUAAUGGCUCUUCGUACGAUGAGCAUCUAGGAAUACGCACGGGAAGUAUCGACCUAUCUCUCUAAUAAACAAUAGUCCCUACGAGCGUGAGGUAGCUAACCCUGGCCCUUGCGGCACUCACGCAAGGCAAGGGGAGGUCGGCUAGCUCUUCCUUCUGAAUGUGAUCACAUUAAUCUGACUAAGUCUGAGCAAUACAAACAAAUUGCACACAAGCAAAUAACUACAACACAUCCUACAAUUUAAUUAGUUUAUGUCAUAAGGGUUAACAAAUAUAAAUAUAGUUUAUUCUGAAAAUAAAUGCAAGCAAACAUAUAAUUUAAAAUGCACAUUCUAUCUAGCCAUCGACAAAGGAAAGAAAACUUAACUCACCACGAGUUUUGAGCGUAGCUUCAACUUCUCGUGUCGUUUGGGCUAAUCAAAUUACCAUUCACACUUCACCUUGAAUAAUCUGAUUUGUAGCCUCACUUGAUUUGCAAAGACUUGCAUUAUUUAAGUCCUUUAAAGCCUUUGGAGGAUUUAGAUGUAUUUCACCCAAGACAUCUUGUGAAUUGCUACUGUAUGAACAUCUUUUCACUAUCCCUCAACUCUGCUUCAAGUAUUUUCGUCAUUUAAAUCCAAAAUACUUCAUCUUAAAUUUCACUUCUAGGUAUCCAAAUCUCAAGGAAUAACCGAAAUUGCAGAGAGAGGACAUGAGUUACCCUUUAGAAACAAUUAAAGGUAGUUUAUGGAUUUGGGAUGGUUUGACACUUGAUCACUGAUGCCUUGCAGAACUUCACUGGAACAAACG
rnacentral:lncRNA from 1 species